UUCAAACGCAGGGUACUCUAGCAGAUGGCACAGUGAUUGCUGUGAAGCAGCUAUCAGCUCGAUCGAAACAAGGAAACCGUGAGUUUGUGACUGAGAUUGGCAUGAUUUCAGCUCUACAACACCCUCAUCUGGUAAAGUUGUACGGCUGUUGCAUUGAAGGAAAUCAAUUGAUGCUUAUAUACGAGUACUUGGAAAACAACAGCCUUGCUCGGGCAUUAUUUGGUACAAACCGCAUACAAAUGUCUAUUUGUUCUAACAUGAAUGUGAAGUAUGUGAAUAUGUGUUUGUGUAUGUGUGUAUCUGAGUUACUCCUUUUAUUUUGGUAAUGAAAAGGGACACAAGAGUCUCAGUUGACAUUAGACUGGCCAACAAGAAUGAAGAUCUGCAUUGGUAUAGCUAGAGGGUUAGCUUACCUCCAUGAGGAAUCAAGGUUGAAGAUUGUGCAUAGAGACAUAAAGGCCACUAAUGUGUUGCUUGAUAAGAAUCUAAACCCUAAAAUAUCUGACUUCGGUUUGGCCAAGCUUGAUGAAGAAGAAAAUACCCACAUUAGUACCCGAAUUGCAGGAACUUAGUAAGUCUCUUUUCAGAUUCAUUCUCAAAUCUUCAUUGAUGUCAAACCUAUAAGAAGCUGUAUUUAAUUGAUGAUGUUAAAUUUGCAGUGGCUAUAUGGCUCCUGAGUAUGCAUUGCAUGGCCAUUUGACAGAGAAAGCGGAUGUUUAUAGUUUUGGGAUAGUGGCUCUCGAAAUUGUUAGCGGGAGGUGCAACACUAAAAGCCGCCCAAAGCAAGAACCUUUCAUUCUCCUUGAAUGGGUAAAUUAAGUUCUCAUUCUUUCUUCCAUUAUGAAUUUGAAUGUGGCAAUUAAAUUUUGUGUGUUUUAUAGGCUCAUGUUUUGAAGGAGAAUGGGAGCUUGUUGGAAUUAGUUGAUACAAGGAUUGGCUCAGAUUGCAACACAGAUGAAGUCAUGGCAAUGAUCAACAUUGCACUAUUGUGCACAAAUCCCACUUCUUCAGCUAGGCCUUUAAUGUCUUCGGUAGUGAGCAUGCUUGAAGGCAAGGCUGAAGUUCAGGAAUACCUCACAGAUUCAAGCAUUUCUUCAAAUCGUCAAAUGAGUGCAGAGAUUAUGAAAAAGUUGUAUCGGAAACUUGAAGAAGAUGAUACAAAUGUUAGCCAAACAAGGAGUAUGUUAGCUGAUGGGCCAUGGACCAAUUCUUCUACAUCUGCUGCUGAUCUUUAUCCAGUUAGUUUGACUUCUGGAUAUUUGCAGAAUAGAGAUUCCACAAAUUAGAAAAAAAUUUGUAUAAUUCUCGUCUGGUUUCUCCCCAGAAAAUUCGUAUUCCUUUGAAACCAAGGCUUAAUUAGCUCAUUUGAUUCAGUCAAAAACCGAAAGUCACAUUCAAUAAUUUUGACAUUUGAAAUACUAAAAUUAUAAGUCAAGUGUAUUUUGAUUUUAUGCAAUUUUAUACAUAAAAUUUUGAUUUGAUAUAAUUCUUGUAAAUUAUUUACAUAAUUAUUGAUUUAACAUCAUUUUAUAUUUAUAUAUUGCAUACAUGAAUAAUUAAAUUUAUCCAAUUUAAAAAUAAAUUGAUAUAUUUAUUUUUUUAAGAUGUGCAUGAUUAAAUCAAAAUUAAAAUUUUAAAUAUACAUCUGAACCACAAUUAGGGUUACACGUAUAUAAUUACAAAUUAAAUUAAAAUUCAUGUAUACAAUUACACAUUAAAUCACAAUUUAUAUAUAAUUUUGAUAUUUAUCUUUUUUAACUUCUCUUAUUAUCAAACUUCAACCGAGGCUUUUGGUUCUUGAACAGGAAAUGUUGAAGAUGUUGAAAUGCGGAUGCUUCAGCUGACUGGGAAAUCCAAAAUCUUUCUUCUCUUUUGAGUCAUGUUGUAACCAAAAAUUUAAUCAUAUUCAUUAUUUGUACUAAUUAAUAACCUUAUAAAAAUUAUAUUAUAUUUAAAUUUAAAUUUAAAUAAUCUUGUAUAAUGAAAAAGAAAAAAAGAGCAUGCAGUUGGUGUCCACGUAACAUGAUAACUUUAUCGAGUAAAAAUAAAAUAUAAAAAUAUUAAAUACAAAAAAUGACAUUUAAAUUUUUUUGACAGUAUUCUGUAUUUUAAAUAAAUAAAAAAGUCUUUAAUGCAAAUUAGGUUGGUGUACGCAAAAUUUUUUUUAUUGAAAUUUCAUUGGAAUUGAUAUAUGAAUACAUUUAAUUUUUAAUUAAAAAUAUUUUUGUUUAAAUAUAUAUAUAGAUAGAAGUAAAAAAAAAAAAAUAGGGAGCUAGAUUUUGAUUGAUAAAAAAGAAAAAGUAUUCCAUCAUUAUAGGAGUAUUUUAGAAAUAUAAUUUGGCUGCUAUUGGUGAUAAAAAUUUGAUUUGUUUCCAACAGUUUGAAUUUCUUUUUGAAUUUUUAGUUAAUUAACUUGAAUAAUAAAUUAAAUUAAUGUGACUAUAUUAUUUCCUAAAUUUUUGAUAGUUUUGAGAAUGUACAAAUUGACCCGUUUAAAAAAUUACAAAAAAUUCAAAAUUAUCUUUGGAAAUUCAAAAAUAUAUAUGAAAUAUAUUUUUCAAAAUUUUAUUAAUAUAGAUUAAAAAUAAAAUUAUUAAUAUAUAAAUAUAAAAAAAUACUAAAUUAUAAUUUUUUAGAAAAUCCAAAUUUUAAUUUUUUUAAACAAGUAAAUUAUCAAACCAUGUUUGUUGUAUUAAUUAUUUUAUUUUAUUUAUCUUUUUUUGCUUUAAAAGAUUUUCAUAUUUAUGCUUUUUAACUUGAAAUUUAAUAAAAUUACCGACAACAUUUUUUUAAUUUAAUUUAAAUAAAUUUAUUUAACUCUAUUCAAAUUUUAUUUCAUUGAUUUAAUUAAAUUUUAAAAAAUAAAUUAAAUAAAAAUGACAAAUUACUGACCCAUGUCCUUGUAUAGAAUUAUUAUAACAAUUGGCUAUUCGUUGUCUUCCUGCGGUAAAGUUGUGAGGUCAUUUGUCUCAACUAGCUUCCUGUCAAAGGUCCCUAUCCCUGUCCUUUUACUUGAGUCGGUGGAAUUAAAUCAUGCACUACAAUUAAUUGGGUUGAUAAGUAUAUUUAUAAAAUUUGUAUAAUUUGAUAAAUAAAAUAUUUUAUUUUAGAAUUAAAAACACAAUACCUUUAUUUCAAUUAAAUUUAUCUACUUAACAAUAAAACAACUAAUUUAAUCCUGUCCCUUAAAUACUCCGGAUGCGACACAGCUAUCAUCUCUAAGAAAUUUCCAACUUUCGUACUUUAAUACCUUUAUGAAAACCCAAUCUUUCUACCCAUUUUUUAUUCAUUCACAUCAAGCCAAAUAAAAGCUCUUGAAUUCCACUCUAAAAUAUUCCUUUCAUAUGUUCUUUUUGGGUCAAUAUUCAUAGUUUCUUGCCUUACAACGAGCUACACUGCGAAAGAUGAUACAGUAAUUUCAUUUGCAUGGGUGCCUCGCUGCCUCCCUCCACCCAGGGGAAGUCAGGAAAAACUUUUAGAGAAUGGAAAUUAAAUUGUUUACAUUUUUAUAAAUUUUUGAAAGAUUAAAUCAAAAUUUUAUUAUUUUUAGGAGGAUAAAUAUUAAUUUAAAAUUUUUAAAAAUUUAAAGGACUAAAAUGAUAAAUUUUUCAUUUUAAGGGGGGACGGAACCUGCUAGCACCCUAAAUCUGUCUCUGGUUUGAAGUUUAAAUUGCUUAAUUCUUUUUGUUAAUGUUAUUUGUUUUCAUAUAAUAUCAAAUUUAAUCUUUAAUAUUUACAUUUUUUAUCAAUUUAAUUUUUUAUAAUUAAAUUUAAUCUUUUAAAAAAAUGUCAAAUUUAACUAUUAAUAUUUUGAAAAAAAGUUAGAAUUGAGUUUUUAAUAAAAAUAUUAACUAAAAUAUUAAAAUUUUUAAAUAUAAAAAAGCAAUCUAGGUAUAGUUCGUUAUAUUCCUAUGCAAGAUAUUUUUUUACAACUAGCUAAUAUGAUAAAAGCAUUUUCAUUUACCAAGUCAUUCGAAAACAUCCAAUCACAGUACAAUAAUUGAACCUUUGUUUUAGUGUUCACAUUACCUCUCUUUUUUCUUUUAUUUUCCAUAUGCAGCCAAAUCAUUUUCAUCUAAAAGAAAUUUCCAACUUCCUUUUAGAAAAUUAUUUUCCCAAGUUUCACAUAUAGCCUACGUCUCAAACAAAAUUCCAGCUCUCAUAGUCCAAUAUAUUUAUGAAAACCCAAUCUUUCACCCCAUUUUUUGUUGAUUCAUAUCAAUCCAAAACGAAAAAAAGCUCUUGAAUUUCAAUCAGAAAAUACUCCUUUAAUAUGUUGUUUCUUCGACAUGUUUUGGGGUCAAUAUUCAUAGUUUGUUGCCUUACGACGCUUACAAAUGGAGCUACACUUGCGAAUGAUAAAGGUAACUCAUAAUACUAAGAGCACGUUUGGUUCGCUGUAUUGGAUUAGAGGUGUAAUGGAUUAGAGGUGUAAUGGAAUAGAUGUGUAAUAGCAAAUCAACUGUUUGGUUGAAUGUAAUGGAAUAGAGGCGUAAUAGUAAUCUUGUGUUUGGUUGAAUGGAAUAGAGGUGUAAUAGCAUAAUGGAAAAAACUAAAAUGACUAGAAUACCCUUAGCAUAAAUUUAUUUUGGUAAAUGAUUAUUGUUAUUGUUAUUUAAAUUUUAAUAAGAUUAUUAAUAUCAAUAAUAAAUAAUUUAAUCAUAUUUAAACAUAAUUAUUAUUAAAUAUAUUAUAAUUAAAAUAUAUAAUUUAAUAAAAUUCUUAAUAAUCAAUAUUCUUAUAUGAAUUUACUCAAAUCAUAAUAUAUGAUACUAUAAAAUAUAAAUUAACAUAAUUAUUAUUAAAUAUAUUAUAAUUAAAAGAUAUAAUUUAAUAAAAUUCUUAAUAAUCAAUAUUCUUAUAUGAAUUUACUCAAGUCAUAAUAUAUGAUACUAUAAAAUAUAAAUUAACAUAAUUAUUAUUAAAUAUAUUAUAAUUAAAAUAUAUAAUUUAAUAAAAUUCUUAAUAAUUAAUAUUCUUAUAUGAAUUUACUCAAAUCAUAAUAUAUGAUUGUUAUUGCUUGUGAUAUUCUUAUAUAAGAAUAAUUAAUAUUCUUAUAUAUUAUUCAUGUCUGAAUAUAAUGCUCUCAUACAAAAUUUUCCAAUUCAUAAUUGUUCUACAAUUUGAAAAAUGAAACUUUUUAGAUGCUUAAUUCAGGGCGAUGUUAGAAAAGCAAAUAUCAAUUCCCAUCAUCAUGUCAAACCUUUAGGUUGAACAAAAGAGUAAAAAGGGCACUGCAGCUUUAAGUUUUGAAUUAACAAUACAACUCUGAUUCACUUUAGCAGUCAUUCCUCCCUAAAAACACAGAUAUGAAUGAUCAGUCUUAAAAAGAACAACAGCUCAAUUUUACUAGACAGAGAUUUGCAUUCAUCAAAAUCCAUACAGGUCCGGCAACAAAAUACCCCUCCCCUACUACUGUCUCAUAAAAGGAAAGAGAAUAAAAACACCACCUUAGAGUUCCAGAGUAAUAAUAUCACUGUAUAGUUGACAGAUUUCAUAACGUUUUCAUCUAAAUUACAUGUCCAAGGACCAGGACAUAAACAAAUGCCUGGACCAUUCUUUACACUGAAUAACACGAUCGCCCAAAUAAGUAGCAUUUGAUUUCAGUAACUAAUGAACACGUACAACAGGUACUUCGAGUGCAAAGUUCAUGAAGUUCUUCAUAAGUCCACAUCUGCCAUUAUCACACUUUGUCAGUAGUCAGUUGUCGGUAUUGCCAUUUCGAAUUGCACGACGAAGCUCAGCUAAGAAAUCCAUCUGUGAGCCAGAUGAAGGCCCGGUAUUGUUUGCUGGGGACAUCAUCUGAGGAAAAGCAAGUCAAAUGCAUAAGGAAUGGGGACCGUGAGAAGAAGAAGAGGUGAAGGAUGAAAGAAUACCUUAUGGGGAAGUCUGAAAUUCCUCCAGGCUGAAUCACUAAUUCCAGAGUACAGAACUGGUAUUUUUGAAACAAGGAAAAACCACAGUAAAAGGAAACAACCAUUAUGGAAGAAAAUAUCCAUCAAUAAACAAGAAUGGAAACAAGGUCAGACAUAAGGAGAAACAGGAGAAACAAAAAAUAGAAAUAAAAAACGACAUGACAAAGGAUGCCCAAUAUGACACUCCCAAGAGCCCCUAAACAACAGGCAGCAAACACAGAACUGCUUGCAACCACAAAUCUAAAAGAAAGAGCAACAUUCAGCACAUUAGUAGCUUUCUUUAACAUCAUAUUAGCAACAACACAGAGUGGUUCAGAAGCUGGUGGAAUUAUUUUAAGAAGAUUCAUAACCCAUGCUUGGGAUGAGGAACCUUGGAAUAUAUUAACAACAGAGUUCUUAGAAAACCAAUGAUUUAUCCACUAGCAUAAUUCAGGCUGGUUUGUGCUAGUCAUGAAUUAACUUGGUCCAAACUAAUCCUAAAUAUCUCAUAUGGAUUGGAUAUCUUCGAUGAUGCUGACAACCUUGUAAUUCACUCCUUCCAAUCCCUUCAACUUAACUUAUGCAUACAUCAGUUAUCAAAGUACGGCAUCAAUCUUCGUGGGAAUGGUUGUCUCAUCCCCCAGCAAGGAAAUUAUCUCAUAGUUAGCAGUUAGAGGCCACUAUUUUACUUAGCCAGAUCAACCAACUUCGACCACCUAGUCAAAACGAAACUGAUAAUAACUACUACAUCCUCCACUUUUUCCAGAUCCUAACACCAUCAUUAAAAAAAACACUAUUGUUUUUCCUUGAACCAAUAAACAACAAUAACAAAAAAAACAUCAAAAUAAAAAUAGCUAUCAUUCACCAAGAUUAACAAGUUAUUCCACAAACUAAAAGAACAAAGAUAAGCAUAUUAUGCGAGCAAAAAGAAAAAAAGAAGAAGCAAAAUAUGCUAUAGCUUAUAGGUACAUUUCGACAUAAAAUUUGAUGCCGUACUAAAAUCCAUAUCAAAUUAAAUAACCUACAAUUUAAACAAUGACUUUGCUCUAAUACUGGGAAAUCACAUCAAUGCAUAUCAAGAUACACACUAAAUAUACAAGAAGAAAGACAUCUGAUAUUGAAAUACCAUCAAUCUGCAAAGAUGAUCUCUUUACAAUAAAGUCUCUAUAGCUAUUCAUACAAGAAUAUGUAUAACAACUUCGACUAACAGCUACUAUUAACUCCUUAGCAGACUAUAAUGGAUAGCAAAUAGUUACAAUUGAACCAAUUGUAUAACAGCUUCGACUAACAACUACUCUUGACUAACAGCUACUGACUAUCCUUAACAAUGCAGCAAUGCUAAAACAGUGCGAUCAAUCUCAGGCAUCCAAUAAGAACCUUCAAAUUUUGUCAUACAAAGAAAUACUAAGAACAACCCUCUACUUGGAAAAGCUAAAUAAUAAUUAAUCCAAAACAAAAAGAAAACUAAAACUAACAGAUGCUCCCUUUUCAAAGAAAAAAAGAAUAAACAAUAGAAAAUUGUAUUCUAUCUUAGUUAAGGUUAUUCAUUCAACCAUCUGGGCUAAACCCAAUUAGAAAAAGCAGAGAAACAGCAUUUACAAACUUUCCAGUUCCUUUUCCUUGGUUUUCAAUGCAACCAAACAGAUAUUUAACACGAGAAAGAAAAAAUAAUAAGAAUUACCUGGGGAGAUAAGAAUUGAAACUGGUUGUCUUCUGGUUCAAUUUUAGGGUAUUUUAUCAGCCCCUCCAUUGAUUCUUUUCAUUUGGUUUCAACAAAAAAAAAAUUAAGGAACUACAACAAGAAAUAAAUAUAAUGAUAACAUAUAUUCGAUAUUCAUAACUCAUCACGGAUUCGACUGAAAAAAUAACUAAACGAGCAGCAAAAUUCAACGAAAAUGAUAAAGAAAUAAACUGCUGAUAGAAAGGUAUUUGACUUACAGUUUUUGUGCGAAGCUGAGAUUAAUAUUUUGGAUUCGAUCAAACAACAAAAAUUUGGAGCUAUAAUGAUACAAAAAGAAAAGAAAAGGUUGAGAAGGAGCAAAUCAGUUGUAAAGAAAAAGAAAAUAAAAGGUGAAGCCUGGGAAGGUAAAAGAGGGAGGGUAAACUAAGAGAGCGUUUGGUUCAGUGUAUUUCGAGGACAGCAGAGGAGAGGGUCGGGUAGGGAGGGAGGGUAAAACAGAGAGAUGGGGAGGGAAGCCGGACGCAAUAGCUAUUACAGCGAAUUGGGAAGGGAUUAGAAAACACAGCAAUUUGGGGAUUAAGGGCGUAAUGUAAUACGCGCGUAAUAUCUAUUACAGCGAACCAAACGCCGGAAUAGGGGCGUAAUGUAUUACACGCGUAAUCGAGGUGUAAUGGAUUGGGUAAUACACUGAACCAAACACUCUCUAAGCUUCUAACCUUAAUUUGAUCAAUUCUUUUUAUUAAAUCUCUCUCUUCGGUUUUUUGCUACAGUGGAAGCUUUGAAAUGGAUUGGUAAAACGUUGGGGAAGACAGGGUGGAACUUUGAUAGUGAUCCAUGCAGCCAACGCCAUAGUUGGGUAGAUCAAUCCACACGUUAUUAUGCUAAUAAUGUUACAUGUGAUUGCUCCUUCAACAAUAACACCAUCUGUCAUGUGGUUCGCAUGUAAGUAUAUACAUGUAUAUAUACAUAUAUAUAUCUUUCUUAAAAAGAAAAUUUAUGCACCAUUGAGUUAUGUCCAAAUUUGUUAGAUUAGUUCAUGGGUUAUAUCAUUUGAACAUAUUCUAUUAUAUAUACACGUAAUUAUCAUGUUUAAGAUAUAAUAUUAUAUAGUCAAUCUAUUCUGCUGACAAAUAUCUAAACCGGAAAUCACAAUCCAAAUACCUAUUGCCAAAAUUUAUUAAUAUGACAGUUUUUCUUUUUUUGAGUCAUCAGUGCUACACCCAACUAGUACUUGUCCAAACACUACUCUUAAAAAAUUGCCUGAACAUGUGUCAUGAGUAGUGAUGUUUUUAAGUGUCAUUGGGGUUAGUUUUUGAGGUGCUUUGAUGCUUUCCUUGGUGUGUUCGUAUCCAGAUUGGCUAUGGGUGCUGUGGUUCUUGUAUCAGAUUUAAUUUUAUUGCAAGGAGUGUUUAUUAUGCUGAAGGUUUAGUUCGGUGUUUCUUAGUAGGUAUUGUUGAGAUGGGUGUCUUCCUUUACAAUAAAGUUUCAUUGGUUAAGAUUUAGAUUAUAGUUAAAAUUUUUUAAAAUUUUAAACUUAAAAGUUAUAAUAAAAUGUUGUUAUUUAUAUAAAAUUUCAAUUAUGUAAAAUUAUAAACCCUAAACCCACCCACAUAAAUUUCAUAUUUAUUAGUAUUAAGUAUAAUUUUGGUUAGUAUAUAUUUUUAGGUUAAAGAAAUUUAUAAUUGAGAAUUUGAACUUCAUUUCAAAUAUUAUGAUCAAUAAAUUUAUGAAACUGAAUUAUUAAGUAGAUAAAAGGAGGAGAAAACAAUAGCCAAAUUAAAUAAUUUAUACAUUAGAUAAAGCUUUUAAUUAGUACGUUAAGUUGAAAUUUUUUGAGUUGAGAGGUGUAGGGGGAAGUGAAUACCAAGGUAGUAUAAUUACUUUAAGACCCACUGUUGACUAUCCAAUGGAAUCGCCAUCACAUGUCGGUCCAAGCUUUUGUUGGCCGCCAAUGUCAUUUAAUUGCCCUCCCUCUCUAGCUUUUGCAAAAUGCUUUCACAAAGAAAUUAAACUUUUUCACUAUUUAGUUAAAUUUUAAUUUUAUACAUUAUCAACUCCUAAAUAGUAGUGUUUAUAGUAUAUAAAUGCCACAUGCAUAUUAAUUUAUCCUAAAUACUUGAACAAAUCAAAUUAUUUUUGCUUGAGUAAUUUAACUCUUGAAAAAUAAUAUUUAAUACUAGUAAGUAGUGAAUAUUAUACAAUUUUUAAUUAAGGUUAAAAAGUUCAUAUCGUUAGUUAAAAAUUUUCACUUUUUCAUUAUAGAUUUUAGCACCCUAACAUAAACUUUGUUUUGUAUCAGAGUGCUCAAGGCUCAAAAUCUCUCGGGUACUCUCCCACUAAACUUGAACAAUCUCCCUUUCCUGCAAGAAAUGUAAGGGCGUUUCCAAAGUUCUUUUUCAUGAUAUAUAAAACUUAUUUCUUUUCAUCAACUUUGGAUCAAUUAAUUAACUAUAUACGUAUAUCUACUAAUUUGUUGUUUUAAAACCAUUUCUUACAGUGACCUAACUCGAAACUAUCUUAAUGGCACCAUUCCACCGGAAUGGGGUUCUUCUACGGGACUUGUCAGCAUGUAUUUUUCUUUCCUCAUUGUCUAUCUAUAUAUGCCUUCCGUGAUGGUUCUGUGUCUUUCCGCAUUGUGUAUGUAUGUAAAAAUGUGUACAUAUUCACAUAUAUAUAUUUACAUAUCUUUCAUCAUGGUUGUAGGAACAAUACAUACAAUCCUUCAUCUUUUGAUUAUAGAAAAUAAUGCUGCUAAAUGCAAAAGAUGUGUUGUAUUUCAGUUCUCUUCUUGGAAAUCGAUUAACUGGUCAAAUCCCAGCAGAGUUAGCAAAUCUCAGAAAUCUUACCAGUUUGUGAGUUAGAUUAUAGCAACUUCGACUACAUAUAAUAUAUCAUCAUUUCAUGAUUAUGAUUUUUUUCAUUAUUUUACUAAAUGUCUAAUGGAUAAUUAAUUUUAUUUAUUGAAAAAAAAUUGUGUAGAGUCCUUGAGAACAAUGGUCUUUCAGGAACAUUGCCUGCAGCACUGGGGAAUCUACCCAAUAUUGAGAGAUUGUAAGAGAGACUCUUCCUGUUUUGAAUUUCAUUUCAUUACAUGCAGUAUUUUUAUUAUAUAAAUUAUUUAAAAUAUAUUCUCUGGUUGUUUCAGGCAUCUUAGUUCCAACAAUUUCACAGGAAAAAUACCUGAAACAUUUGCUAGGUUGACAUCAUUGAAGGAGUUGUAAGCAAUUGUAAUGUUCAUUUUUACUAACUUAUUUUAUAUGAUAUGUUUUAUAUUUAUUUUGUAUUCUCAACAGUCGGAUUAGUGACAACAACUUCACGGGACACAUUCCUGAGUUUAUAUUUCGAAAUUGGGAAAAUCUUGAACAGAUGUGAGAAUUUUAAUUAUAACAUUAAUGCAUUUUGUAAGUCUAUUAUUUUUCAAUUAAAUGGAUCCAUCCUUCCUAAUGACAGAUAUAUGGAGGCAAGUGGUUUGAUUGGGCCAAUUCCAUCCAUUAAUGCUACUUUACUUAACUUGACAUACAUGUAAGCACCGAUCUUAACCAUCAAGAUACUGACAAUAUUCAACACUAUAUGAUAAAAGCAGCUAUUUAAAUCCUUAUUUAUAAUUGUAUCUGUUUGUUGGAUAUUGGUUUACAGAAUAAUUAGUGACUUGAAUGGAACUGAUACAUCUUUUUCACAAUUGCUUAUCGAUGCCAAUUUGCCUAAAUUGGAAAGACUGUAAGCAUCAACUCUGAAAUCAGGCAAAGAUUUAUUAGAGUUAUGUCAUAUUGAGGAGUUUAAAACAAUGGGAUUAUUUUGUGAUUGAAUUACAGGAUGUUGAGGAGCUGCAAUCUCAUUGGAGAGAUACCUUCUUCUUUUGGGACAUUCACAUCCAUAAAGAUAUUGUAAGUAUAAUCUAGUGUUUUGAGAGGUCAGGGUUUAAUUUGAAAUUUUUUUCUGAGAUAACACGUGGUUUUAAUAUCAUUUUUAUAUAAUUUCUUGUAGAGAUCUCAGUUUCAACAGACUCGGGGGAGAAAUUUCAGAAAAUCUUUCUACUCUUGAUAACUUGAAUUUUUUGUAAGGAUAUGGUUUUUAAUUUUAGUGUAGAUUUCCCUUUUCUUUUAAGUAUAUACACCUUUGGAACAAAUGGAAAUAAAAAGAAAAACUUGAUGAUUUCUUUUGAUUAGGUUCUUAAAUGGAAAUAAUUUUACUGGAAAAGUCCCUUCAUGGAUACUGAAUACAAAGGAAAAAAUGUAAGAUUCAGUUCGUAUUGUGUUGAAUUCCUUUGAUUAACCAAAAUAAAAUUAUAUCGAUGUCAAGCUUUUAAUCAAGAUUUUUAAUGAACAUAAUAUUCUAAACUAUUCUAUUUGCAGCGAUCUUUCAUACAACAACUUCACACACACAGGUGUAACAGGCUGUCAACAAAAUAAUAUCAUGUAUGACAAGUUUCUAAUCUAACAUCAUUAGUGGAUCUUUAUUGUAAAUGGUUAUAUAUAUAUAAAAUAUUUGUGGUUGAUUGUGGAUCUUCAGGAACUUAUUCUCAAGCAUUGCAAGAGUCAAUAACUCGUAAGUAUUAAGACAACAACAAUCAUUAAACUAAGUUCGGAGAUUUUAAUGGCUUUGCUUUUUAAUUGUUUAAUCAGAGGAAUUGUUCCAUGUUUGAGAAGCCAAACUACCUGCACAGCAGGAUGUAAGUAAAAAUACUUUACACUUCAUCUAUGCUAAUAUCCAUUUAUAUUUGAUACACUACUCAAUCGUCAGGUAGCCAAUGGCCAAUGAGACAUACAAAAAUAAGUUCAUCCUGUCUUAAUUUUUUGUGUCGAGUUACUGAUCCAAACUGUUUUUAUAUUCCUCAGUUUCGCACUCUGUUCAUAUAAACUGUGGAGGUGAAAUAACAAGAUUUAAUGACACCGAUUAUGGUGCCGAUAACAAUCAAGCCGGGCCUUCGACAUUUCAACAAGGUACUAGGAACUGGGCAUUUAGUACCACCGGAGUUUUCCUAGACGAUGACCAUAUGGACGACAACUUAGCUUUUGACAAUAGGCAAGUUUCUAUCAGUGGUGACGGUGCAGAACUCUACAGAAAUGCAAGGCUUGCACCUACUUCUUUGACAUACUAUCUUUUUUGUCUCGCCAAUUCAACUUAUACAGUAAACCUCCAUUUUGCUGAGAUUCAGUUUACUAAUGAUCAAACUUAUAGCAGCUUGGGAAGACGCAUAUUUGAUGUUUACAUUCGGGUAUUUUUUUUUAGUAUCAUUCUUGAUAGUAUGUUAUCCUGAUUUGGGGGAGUGUCGAAUUUUUAAUGUAUAGUAGCAAAUAUUGCUUUACAACAUGUGCUUGCAUGGGACGGCUUAAAUGGAAUGGAUAAUAAUUGCAGGGAAAGCAGGUGCUGAAGGAUUUCAAUAUUAAAGAAGCAGCAGGAGGGGCAGGCAUACCGAUAGUAAAAUAUUUUACUGUAAAUGUAACCGAUGGCACUUUGGAGAUCGGUUUCCGAUGGGCUGGCAAAGGGACGACUUCUAUGCCUCAGGGAAUCGUUUACGGUCCUCUUAUCUCAGCAAUAUCUGUUUUAGAUCCUAGUAGGUUUUCAAUUCAACUGACUCUUCUUUUUACGUUGUUGUUAUAGCACACGUAUAUAUCAUGCUUUCAACCAUGAUUUUCAUGUCAUCUUUGCUAUUAAUUACUAUGUUAUAUUGUUGUAGAAAUAGAUGAUAAAUUUUCAUCAGCAAGUACCGGUGGUUUUGCGACAGCUGCAGUGGUCGGUAUUGUCGGCGGCACAGUGUUUGCUGCUUCAGUGAUUUUAGGCGUCCUUUGGUGGAAUGGUUGUUUAAGAGAACAGAGUACAUUGGAACGAGGUAUUUAGACAUAAUAUCAUUAUACUCUGUUACAUACAAGGAAAGAGUACGACAGUCGUACCGUCUUUUUCUAUUGAUACUCAUCACAAUUGAUCCUUAAUCAUAUGUUAUGUGACUGAAAACACGUUUCUGAUCGCAAUUGAAACCCAGCCAUUGCUUAUAUUUGGCUUAACAUGUUCCACAGAUCUAAAAGGUAUAGAGUUGCAGACAACUUCCUUUACCUUAAUGCAAAUUAAAGCUGCUACAAACGAUUUUCAUGCUUCCAAUAAGAUCGGAGAAGGUGGUUUUGGUCCCGUUUACUGUUGAAUAUUGGCAAUAUCCCACAUUAGGAAAAGAUAGAAAGGGAGGGGGUUUGGUUUGUUAUAUAUAGAACCCCUCCCCCUUUGGUUGUAUCAUCCCAAAAUCUUCUCCUUUAUAAUAUUUCUAGAAGAAAUAUUAAUUUGGUAGUGUCCGAGGACGUAAGCUAAAUUGGCCGAACCUCGUUAAAUCUCUGGUAUUUUAUUUCUUAUUUGUUUGCUUAUAUUUAAUAGCUUUAUGUUGGUUAUAUUUAUUUAGUUAUUAUUGCUAUAAAUAUCUAAGUGAGUUCUGUCUAGUUGUUGGGUUUUAAGCGGGACCAUUUGUGACCCCUCCAAUUUAACUGGGAAUUUUCUUAGUAUAAUUGUUGGCAUAAUAAUUAUCUAAAUAUUUCUGAUAAUAUUGUUAUUAAUAUUAUCGUCGCUUCCGCAACAAUUGGUAUCAGAGCCAAGGUUUUGUAGUAUGCUCUGUGUUUGCAGCUUAGUCUGAUCUUACACAUCAGAAACAUUUUCCUAAAGCUUGUGGGUAUUCUGCAUUUGGUGGCUAUUAAGUAGAAGCUAUGGCAAAAAUGACAGAAGAAAAACCAUCCAUAUCAACAACUUCCACUUCGUACAUUUUGCCGAGGAUUGGAACUGCAAAUACGAGAUUUGUAGUGGAAAUUUUUGAUGGAACAGGUCAUUUUGGCAUGUGGCAAAGUGAGCUUCUAGAUGCCCUCUUUCAACAGGGUCUAGAUAUUGCCAUUGAGGAAGAAAAACCAGAAGGGGUUGAUGAUAAAGAAUGGAAGACCAUCAACCGAUUGGCAUGUGGUACAAUUCGAUCAUGUCUUUCCAGAGAGCAGAAGUAUACAUUCAGUAAAGAGACUUCUGCAAGUAAAUUGUGGAAAGCAUUGGAGGAGAAAUUCUUGAAGAAGAACAGUCAAAAUAAGUUGCAUAUGAAGAAAAGACUGUUUCGUUUCAAUUAUGUUCCUGGUACCACGAUGAACGAGCACAUUACCAAUUUUAAUCAGUUGGUGGCUGAUUUGUUGAAUUUGGAUGUGACUUUUGAAGACGAAGACUUGGCGUUAAUGUUGUUGGGAUCGCUUCCUGAGGAGUUUGAGUACCUUGAAACUACUCUACUUCAUGGAAAAUCGGAAGUAACUUUCAAUGAAGUAACUGCUGCAUUGUAUAGCUAUGAACUACGCCGAAAGGAUAAGUUGAAAGGUUCAGGUGAAGCAGCAGUGGAAGCAUUGGUAACAAGAGGUCGUCAGCAAAGUCAGUCUAAUGGGAAGAGAAGAAAGUCCAAAGGUCGAGCUGUUGCCAAAGAUGAAUGUUCCUUUUGCAAAGAAAAAGGACAUUGGAAGAAAGAUUGUCCAAAAUUGAAGAAAAAAGGGAAGACUCCGCAAGAUGCAAAUGUUGCAGAAUGCAAUAGUGAAGCAGAGUCAGACUUUUCUCUUAGUAUGACAUCUUCAACAUUAUAUGCAGAUGAGUGGAUCAUGGAUUCUGGUUGUUCCUAUCAUAUGUGUCCCAUUCGGGAAUGGUUCUUUGAAUUUCAAAAACUAGAUGAAGGGGUUGUUUACAUGGGUAAUGAUAACACAUGUAAAAUAGCCGGGAUAGGUUCAAUUAAACUGAGGAGUCAUGAUGGAUCUACUAGAAUUUUGCGGGAUGUACGAUAUGUCCCAAAGUUGAAGAAGAAUCUCAUCUCUUUGGGGUCGUUAGAAUCUAAAGGCCUAGUUGUGACAAUACGAGAUGGAGUUCUUAAAGCAACUUCAGGAGCAUUGGUGAUGUUGAAAGGCAUAAGAAAGAACAAUCUGUAUUACUACCAAGGUAGUACAGUGGUCGGGACAAUAGCAGCAGCAAUUUCGAGUACCAAGAAGGACGCUGAGGCAACACAGCUGUGGCAUAUGCGUUUGGGCCAUGCUGGUGAAAAAUCCUUGCAAACUCUAGCCAAGCAAGGAUUAUUGAAAGGUACAAAGACUUGCAAACUUGAAUUUUGCGAGCAUUGUGUUCUGGGAAAACAACGAAGGGUGAAAUUUGGCACUGGGAUUCACAAUACUAAAGGUAUUCUGGAUUAUGUGCAUUCUGAUGUAUGGGGACCGUCCAAGACUCCAUCACUUGGAGGAAGACGUUAUUUUGUCACCUUUAUUGAUGAUUUUUCCAGACGAGUUUGGGUGUUUCCUAUGAAGAACAAAGAUGAGGUGCUUGAAGUUUUCCUUAAGUGGAAAACUAAAGUUGAAAAUCAGACAGGAAGGAAGAUUAAGGUUCUCCGAUCAGACAACGGUGGAGAAUAUAAAAGCGAUCCUUUCCUAAAGAUAUGCCAAGAUUGUGGCAUAGUAAGGCACUUCACCGUAGGUGGAACACCGCAACAGAAUGGGGUGGCAGAGCGUAUGAAUCGAACGCUUGUGGAGAAAGUUCGAUGUAUGUUAUCUAAUGCUGGAUUAGAUAGAAAGUUUUGGACUGAGGCUGUGACGUACGCUCAACAUCUCAUCAAUCAUUUGCCAUCAUCUGCUAUAAAUGGCAAGACUCCUUUGGAGAAAUGGUAUGGAAAACCUGCUACUGAUUAUGACACCUUGCGCAUUUUUGGUUCUAUUGCAUAUUAUCAUGUGAAAGAAUCAAAGUUAGAUCCAAGAGCAAAGAAGGCUCUAUUCAUGGGCUUCAAUGCUGGUGUUAAGGGAUAUCGUUUGUGGUGUCUAGAGGCAAAGAAGACGAUAAUCAGUAGGGAUGUUACCUUUCAUGAAUCUGCCAUGUUGAAUAAGGUAAAUCCAGAGGGAGUGAGUAGUACUUCGCAGCAGGUGGAGUGUACUCCGCAGCAGGUGGAGUUUGAGCAGAGUGUGGUAAUUCCAGCAGAAGGUACCACUAGUGAUUCUUCAUUGGCAGAUGCAGAGUCAAAUGAGGAAGAGGUUUCUACCCAAGAACCUCAACAGCAAUCAGAGCCAAUUGCAGUCAGAAGGCAGAGACGAGAAAUUCAGAAACCUGCUCGUUUCACUGACAUGGUAGCUUAUGCACUUCCAGUUGUUGAUAAUAUUCCAUCCACUUACACCAAAGCCAUUCAGAGUUUAGAGAAUAAUAGAUGGUUAGGUGCAAUGGAAGAGGAAAUGCAAUCUCUAGAGAAAAACAAGACGUGGAAGCUGGCACAACUACCAAAAGGGAAGAAGGCGAUUGGUUGCAAAUUUGAAGACACUAUUGAAGUUAGUGUUAUGAGAAGAUGUUCGAAGAUGUGGAAUAUCGCCAAGGUGGAGAUUUGUUGAAUAUUGGCAAUAUCCCACAUUAGGAAAAGAUAGAAAGGGAGGGGGUUUGGUUUGUUAUAUAUAGAACCCCUCCCCCUUUGGUUGUAUCAUCCCAAAAUCUUCUCCUUUAUAAUAUUUCUAGAAGAAAUAUUAAUUUGGUAGUGUCCGAGGACGUAAGCUAAAUUGGCCGAACCUCGUUAAAUCUCUGGUAUUUUAUUUCUUAUUUGUUUGCUUAUAUUUAAUAGCUUUAUGUUGGUUAUAUUUAUUUAGUUAUUAUUGCUAUAAAUAUCUAAGUGAGUUCUGUCUAGUUGUUGGGUUUUAAGCGGGACCAUUUGUGACCCCUCCAAUUUAACUGGGAAUUUUCUUAGUAUAAUUGUUGGCAUAAUAAUUAUCUAAAUAUUUCUGAUAAUAUUGUUAUUAAUAUUAUCGUCGCUUCCGCAACAUUUACAAGGUAACCAUAUGCAACACUUUCUGCAGGAAAAUUGUUCAUGAUGGAACCUGGUAAUCAUGUUUUUCUCAUUUCAAACGCAGGGCACUCUAGCCGAUGGCACUAUGAUCGCUGUUAAGCAGCUAUCAGCUCGAUCGAAGCAAGGAAACCGUGAGUUUGUGACUGAGAUUGGCUUGAUUUCAGCUCUACAACACCCUCAUCUUGUAAAGUUGUAUGGAUGUUGCAUUGAAGGAAAUCAACUGAUGCUUAUAUACGAGUACCUGGAAAACAACAGCCUUGCUCGUGCAUUAUUUGGUACAAACCUCAUCCAAAUGUCUAUCUGUUCUAACAUGAAUGAGAAGUAUGUGAAUACAUAUAACUGAGCUUCUUUGUAUUUUGGUAAUGGAAAGGGCCACAAGAAUCUCAAGAAUCUCAGUUGACAUUAGAUUGGCCAACAAGAAUGAAGAUCUGCAUAGGUAUAGCAAGAGGAUUAGCUUACCUCCAUGAAGAAUCAAGGUUGAAGAUUGUGCAUAGAGACAUAAAGGCCACUAAUGUGUUGCUUGAUAAGAAUUUAAACCCUAAAAUAUCCGAUUUCGGUUUGGCCAAGCUUGAUGAAGAAGAUAAUACCCAUAUUAGUACCCGAGUCGCUGGAACUUAGUAAGUCUCUUUUCAGAUUCAUUCUCACUGUAUUCAUUGGUGUUAACCUAUAAAAAUGGCUGAUAUAAAAGCUGUAUUUAAUUGAUGGUGUUAAAUUUUCAGUGGCUAUAUGGCUCCUGAAUAUGCAUUGCAUGGCCGUUUGACAGAGAAAGCAGAUGUAUAUAGUUUUGGGAUAGUGGCUCUCGAAAUUGUUAGUGGGAGGCGCAACACUAGAAGCCGCCCAAAGCUAGAACCUUUCAUUCUCCUUGAAUGGGUAAAGUAUAACUUAUCAUUCUUUCUUCCAUUCUUACUCUUGUUCUUUCCAGAAGAAUUUGUUUUCUUCAAUAUAUUACAUUUCCGUAUCAACACACGCAUAUCAUUCAUGCUGCAUAGUCCGUAAUGAAGGAAUUCAUACGGUCCUACUCUUCAAGGGUUCAUUGGAAAGCUUUUAAUAGAAGUUAUUAUACAUAUGAAGGAUUAUACUAUAGAAUGUCAAACACAUAUCACAUAUACCAAACACAGGUACUUUAUAUACAUGACAAAGAAAGUUUAUGCAUUUGUCAGUUUGAGUUUCAUUUUUUUAUCAAAUGAAUUUGAAUGUGGCAAUUAAAUUUGUGUGUUUUAUAGGCUCAUGUUUUGAAGGAGAAUAGGAACUUGUUGGAAUUAGUUGAUACAAGGAUUGGCUCAGAUUGCAACACAGAUGAAGUGAUGGCAAUGAUCAACAUUGCACUAUUGUGCACAAAUCCCACUGCUUUAGCUAGGCCUUUAAUGUCUUCGGUGGUGAGCAUGCUUGAAGGCAAGGCUGAAGUUCAGGAAUACCUCACAGAUACAAGCAUUUCUUCAAAUCGUCAAAUGAGUGCUG
rnacentral:lncRNA from 1 species